rnacentral:rRNA from 1 species
GAGUUUGAUCAUGGCUCAGAUUGAACGCUGGCGGCAGGCCUAACACAUGCAAGUCGAGCGGAAACGAGUUAUCAGAACCUUCGGGGGACGAUAACGGCGUCGAGCGGCGGACGGGUGAGUAAUGCCUAGGAAAUUGCCCUGAUGUGGGGGAUAACCAUUGGAAACGAUGGCUAAUACCGCAUGAUGCCUACGGGCCAAAGAGGGGGACCUUCGGGCCUCUCGCGUCAGGAUAUGCCUAGGUGGGAUUAGCUAGUUGGUGAGGUAAGGGCUCACCAAGGCGACGAUCCCUAGCUGGUCUGAGAGGAUGAUCAGCCACACUGGAACUGAGACACGGUCCAGACUCCUACGGGAGGCAGCAGUGGGGAAUAUUGCACAAUGGGCGCAAGCCUGAUGCAGCCAUGCCGCGUGUGUGAAGAAGGCCUUCGGGUUGUAAAGCACUUUCAGUCGUGAGGAAGGUAGUGUAGUUAAUAGCUGCAUUAUUUGACGUUAGCGACAGAAGAAGCACCGGCUAACUCCGUGCCAGCAGCCGCGGUAAUACGGAGGGUGCGAGCGUUAAUCGGAAUUACUGGGCGUAAAGCGCAUGCAGGUGGUUUGUUAAGUCAGAUGUGAAAGCCCGGGCUCAACCUCGGAAUUGCAUUUGAAACUGGCAGACUAGAGUACUGUAGAGGGGGGUAGAAUUUCAGGUGUAGCGGUGAAAUGCGUUAGAGAUCUGAAGGAAUACCGGUGGCGAAGGCGGCCCCCUGGACAGAUACUGACACUCAGAUGCGAAAGCGUGGGGAGCAAACAGGAUUAGAUACCCUGGUAGUCACGCCGUAAACGAUGUCUACUUGGAGGUUGUGGCCUUGAGCGUGGCUUUCGGAGCUAACGCGUUAAGUAGACCGCCUGGGGAGUACGGUCGCAAGAUUAAAACUCAAAUGAAUUGACGGGGGCCCGCACAAGCGGUGGGCAUGUGGUUUAAUUCGAUUGCAACGCGAAGAACCUUACCUACUCUUGACAUCAGACAACUUUCAGAGAUGGAUUGGUGCCUUCGGAACUCUGGACAGGUGCUGCAUGGCUUCGUCAGCUCGUAGUUGGAAUAUGUUGGGUUAUCCCGCAAACGAGCGCAACCCCUUCAUCCGAUUUGCCGCGAGUAAUUCGGGAACUCCAGGGAGACUCCGGUGAUAAACCGGAGGAAGGUGG